UUCAGAUCAAAAGCCAAAUCUUUGGUGUUUGUGAGGAAAAAAAAUGCCCAGCAGCCGUCCUGCAGCACAUCAGUGCUUUGUCUGACUGCGGUGUGAAGGUGUUGCUCGGGACCAGGGACACUUGGACUGGUUGGUGCUACACACUCUUAGGCUACACCAUGAACAGCCUUCAUUUUCCCCUUAAGGAAUGCUGACCUUCCAGCUCCUUCCCACUGCUCCCUGUACCAAGGAGACACUUUGUUGAUGCGAGGAGUGGUGAGCAUAUUGAAGACUGACAGGAGAAAUCGCUUUGUGUCUCAAAGCACACACUGGGCCCAGCAGUCCUUGGUGGUGACUGGCAGCCUGGAGACGUCAGGCAGCAUCAGGACCCACUGGCUGCUGUGUUGCUGUGACCUCUGGAACGAGCAAACAGCUCCCACCUUCCUCCUCCAUCCCAGAGCACCCUGCAGGAGCCGCUGUUCUCUUGUACAGCUCUGUAAGAUGUGAGCAAGCAGAGGAGCAGCACCUUGAAGGAACAUCCAGACACAGCCUUCCUGCUUCCUGACCUCAGCACAGGGAUGCUGAUCUCUGCAAUGCCCUGUCCUUGUCCCCAGGCUCCUCCAGCCCCUUCUUCCAGCCCAGCCCCUCUCACUUGCAGCUCAGCAGUGGUGAGUUAAAAGAAAACUGUGGCAAAUUAAUCUGAAAAGGGAGAGCAGCCUUUGCAGUAGCUGAGGAAUACCUCUCUUAUCUGCACUGUCUGAGGCUGCAGAGCCACUGGGAAUUCAGAUUGGUCUUCACGUCUGAUGCGCUGCUGGGAAAUGCAUUCUGGAUGUUGAGUUUAAACAUGUCUCCAGAGGCAGCACUUGGCUGGCUGGGUGCCUGCUGCACUGCUUCCCAGCUACAUCACUUGGGUCUGGAUUUAAUACCGAGUACAUUCUACUGGUUCCUUUUUAUAGCAGCUGGCAAUAAACACAUCAUGUUACGGCUUUAUUUUGGCUACAGAUUAAUUGUAGAGAAUGUAAUUGCUUCCCCAUUUGAAGCCAGGGGGAAGCCCACAGAGUAGGUCAUCAGCUUCUUGGAGCAUCACCUGGGAGAUGGUCUUUAACAUUUGUUUGUUUUUCUAUAAGUAGGUGAGGAUUAAAAAUCAAAAGCAUCCUGCAACAACUACUCCUCUACCUAGGAAAGCACCAAGUCACUCCUGGUUCUACCGCUGUGAUGAGCAAAGGAAACCUUGAGGGAUAGGUUCGGACUUGUUACACUUAGCACUGCUCCCUUCCUCUUUUAGCUAGUAGGCAAUUAUCAGAUCCGAUCAACAGAAACAGACCUUUCCCAGAGCACAGCUCUUGUGCAGUGUUCUGCAGGUUUGGCCAACUGCACGCCUUCGGUGCUUCAGAUCCAU
rnacentral:lncRNA from 1 species